rnacentral:rRNA from 1 species
GACGAACGCUGGCGGCGUGCCUAAUACAUGCAAGUCGAACGAGAGCGACCGGUGCUUGCACUGGUCAAUCUAGUGGCGAACGGGUGAGUAACACGUGGGUAACCUGCCCACCAGAGGGGGAUAACAUCCGGAAACGGAUGCUAAAACCGCAUAGGUCUUCGAACCGCAUGGUUUGAAGAGGAAAAGAGGCGCAAGCUUCUGCUGAUGGAUGGACCCGCGGUGCAUUAGCUAGUUGGUGAGGUAACGGCUCACCAAGGCCGUGAUGCAUAGCCGACCUGAGAGGGUGAUCGGCCACAUGGGGACUGAGACACGGCCAAAACUCCUACGGGAGGCAGCAGUAGGGAAUCUUCCGCAAUGGACGCAAGUCUGACGGAGCAACGCCGCGUGAGUGAAGAAGGUGUUCGGAUCGUAAAACUCUGUUGUUAGAGAAGAACAAGUGCUAGAGUAACUGUUAGCGCCUUGACGGUAGCUAACCAGAAAGCCACGGCUAACUACGUG